rnacentral:rRNA from 1 species
UGGGGAAUAUUGCACAAUGGGGGAAACCCUGAUGCAGCGACGCCGCGUGAACGAAGAAGGUAUUCGUAUCGUAAACUUCUGUCCUAUGGGAAGAUAAUGACAGUACCAUAGAAGAAAGCUCCGGCUAAAUACGUGCCAGCAGCCGCGGUAAUACGUAUGGAGCGAGCGUUGUCCGGAAUUAUUGGGCGUAAAGGGUACGCAGGCGGUUUAAUAAGUCGAAUGUUAAAGAUCGGGGCUCAACCCCGCAAAGCAUUGGAAACUGAUAAACUUGAGUAGUGGAGAGGAAAGUGGAAUUCCUAGUGUAGUGGUGAAAUACGUAGAUAUUAGGAGGAAUACCAGUAGCGAAGGCGACUUUCUGGACACAAACUGACGCUGAGGUACGAAAGCGUGGGGAGCAAACAGG